rnacentral:rRNA from 1 species
GGACUACCCGGGUAUCUAAUCCGUUUUGCUCCCCACGCUUUCGUGCCUCAAUGUCAGGAAUAGAAUAGUUGAAUGCCUUCGCCUUUUUUGGUGUUCUUCCAUAUAUCUAUGCAUUUCACCGCUCCACAUGGAGUUCCAUCAACCUCUUCUACCCUCUAUCACUACAGUAUUACUGGCCUCCUCGGAGUUGAGUUCCGAUUCAACUAGUAACUUUUAGUAAAAUCUACGCACCCUUUACGCCCAAUAAAUCCGGAUAACGUUUGCCACCUAUGUCUUACCGCGGCUGCUGGCAC